rnacentral:rRNA from 1 species
UACGUAGGGUGCAAGCGUUGUCCGGAUUUAUUGGGUUUAAAGGGUGCGUAGGCGGCCCUGUAAGUCAGUGCUGAAAUAUCCCGGCUUAACCGGGAGGGUGGCAUUGAUACUGCGGGGCUAGAGUACAGAUGAGGUAGGCGGAAUUGACGGUGUAGCGGUGAAAUGCUUAGAUAUCGGCAAGAACACCUAUAGCGAAGGCAGCUUGCUGGGCUGUAACUGACGCUGAGGCACGAAAGUGUGGGGAGCAAACAGG